rnacentral:rRNA from 1 species
GUGCCAGCAGCCGCGGUAAUUCCAGCUCCAAUAGCGUAUAUUAAAGUUGUUGCAGUUAAAAAGCUCGUAGUUGGAUUUCUGUUAAUAAUUUAUAUAUAAUAUUUAACAUAUUUAUAUAAUAUUAACAUAAUUCAUAUUACUAUUUUGAUAGUAUAUGAAACUUUACUUUGAGAAAAUUAGAGUGCUUAAAGCAGGCUUUAGCCUUGAAUACUAGAGCAUGGAAUAAUAUUAAAGAUUUUUAUCUUCCUUAUUGGUUCUAAGAUAGAAAUAAUGAUUAAUAGGGACAGUUGGGGGCAUUUGUAUUUAACAGUUAGAGGUGAAAUUCUUAGAUUUGUUAAAGACAAACUAAUGCGAAAGCAUUUGCCAAGGAUGUUUUCAUUAAUCAAGAACGAAAGUUAGGGGAUCGAAGACGAUCAGAUACCGUCGUAGUCUUAACCAUAAACUAUGCCAACUAGAGAUUGGAGGUUGUUCCUUACU